rnacentral:rRNA from 1 species
CACGUAGGGUGCGAGCGUUGUCCGGAAUUAUUGGGCGUAAAGAGCUCGUAGGCGGUGUGUCGCGUCGGCCGUGAAAACCUGCAGCUUAACUGUGGGCGUGCGGUCGAUACGGGCAUCACUGGAGUUCGGCAGGGGAGACUGGAAUUCCUGGUGUAGCGGUGAAAUGCGCAGAUAUCGAGAGGAACACCUGCGGCGAAGGCGGGUUGCUGGGCUGACACUGACGCUGAUGCGCGAAAGCGUGGGGAGCGAACAGG